AAUAAGGAAUGAUAUGAAAUGAAUCAUUUAGUAUGUAAGGAGCCGUUGAGGAUUUAAUUAGCUAGAUUUCAGGCAAUGGAAAAUAAAGAAACGAGAGUUUUGAUUCCAUAGGUAAAAGCCGUAAUAGGAACUAAACGAACUGAAACAUCUAAGUAGUUUAAGGAAAGGAAAAUAACCAAGAUUUGUUGAGUAGUGGUGAACGAAAAACAAAGAGUCGAGGAAGUAAUAUGCAACAGCGAAAGUGUGUAUGAACAUAGUGAAACUAUCACUAAGACUAAAUACUGGGAUCUAAGCAGAAGUAGUACCGUGAGGGAACAGAAGGAAUCAGCGUCUUUAUGAGCAUAAUGAAAAGAAAUUUAAAUUAGCACCUCUUGUAUAAUGGGUUGGCAAGUAUAUAUCAAUAGCGAGACAAGGAUUUGUCGUAGAGAAAUCGAAAUACCGCAUAUUGAGGUAGUUAUUGGUAUAUGACCCGAAAGUCCAUGAUCUUAUCAUGAUCAAGUGUGAAAAACGACUGAACUGGUUACUGUUGCAAUAGUAUCAGAUGAAUUGUGAUAAGAAGUGAAAUAUCAACCAUAUGGACAGCUAGCUGGUUUACCACGAAAUAUAUGUAAGUAUAGCCGAAUCAUGAAGGAUUAAGAAGGCGCGAGCCAAGAAAGUAUAGCACUUAACACUGUUUAUAGAUCACCCAUUACAAAUGGGCCUAUGUGGGGGAAUGUAAAGUUUUUAUCACCGGUGUUUAAUCUCAGAAAUAAUAAUCCAGCUCCCUCGGGGGUUCUUGAUUCGAGUCAGAUUAUUCGCGAUAAGGUGAGUAAUCGACAAGGAAACAGCCUAACACAAGUAUGAAGGUCCCAAAUCGAAUUCUAAGUGAACACAAGAUGACGAAAUUAUAAUACAAUUAGUUAGUUGGUUUGAUAGUAACUAUCUUUUAAUAAAAGUGUAAUAACUUACUAAUCCAUGUCCAUAAUCUCGUUAUCAUAGAUUCAACGGGUCUCAAAAAUUCAACCGAGAACUUGUAUUGACGUCGCAAAAGGACGUUGAUGAUAGUGGUACAUUUAAUGAGUCCGCAAGGAAGGUAAUUAAAUAGAGAAUGCUAACAUGAGUAACGCAAAUAAGAUUCAAAUCUUAUCAUCUAAAGCUUCAGGUUUUACCAUAAAAUCGGCCCUUAAGUUGAAAUAACCCGCCAGGGUACCAACAAUAGGGAGACAUAGUCGCACAGUGCUUCGGCACUCUAAUGUGUGCGAUUCGGGAAAUAACAAGAACCGUAAUGGAAACCGACACAGGUAAGCUAGUAGGGAAUAUGAAGAUGAAUGAGACAAUUAUCGUAAAUGAACUCGGCAAAAAUAAUUCUAAAUGUUAGUCAAAACGGAAUGCCCUUUCUAAGGGUCACAGAAAAAAAGAUAGCACAACUGUUUACUAAAAACACAGCACGAUGCAAAAACAAGAAGUGGUAGUAUAUCGUGUGAACUCUGCUCAAUUGUAGUGAAUAAUAGGCCUCGUGAUUACGCGAGGAGUUUAACAACUAUAAAAUAGCGGUCUUAACGUGAGGAUCAUAAUGUAGCAAAAUUCCUUGUCCGCUAAAUACGGUCCUGCAUGAAUGACGUAAUGAUGCUAUAACUGUAUCUACGAUAAGCUCAGUGAAAUUGGAGUCGCGGUGAAGAUACCGUGUACCUAUAAGAGGACAGAAAGACCCUAUGCAACUUUACUAUGUAUAGAAAGACUGAGAUGUUACGCCAAAUAUUCAGUGAACGCCGUCAAAAGCAAUCAAUUAUUAGGUAUGAUAUUAUCAUCUCAUGAGAAACCUAUUAUCUUGGCGUAAUAUGUCUAAACCGCAGAGCCCCCUAAUCGAAUCCGCAAGGACCCAUUGGGUGUCUUAGGGGGCACUGGUGACAAUCUCUAUAUGAUAGUUUGUGUGGGGCGCACAUUUCAGCAAAAGUAUCUGAAUAUGUCCAGAUGACAAAUAACAGAAGUUCACAAAUAAUCCGAAGGAAACAGACGUUUCCCGAGUAAUCCCAUAUAUUCGCCCCUGACUCGUCAGGUGUAGAAUUAAAUAAUAGAAAAGUCAAGGUGUGAUGCAAUUGAUCUAGAAAUCAAUCAGGGUAGAGACCCUGGGCAAGUGUAAUAGCAUAAUCACAUUGAAGUUGUAACAUCAACAAAUGGAACAAGUACUUACGUAUGGUAUAGUGAACAAUUGCCACUGGUAGAACCGGUGCAAUGAUAACGGAUAAAAGUUACGCUAGGGAUAACAGGCUGAUAUGGUGAAAGAGUACAUAUUGUAAACCAUGUUUGGCACCUCGAUGUCGACUCUACUUAUCCUACUGGUGCAGUCGCUAGUAAGGGUUAGACUGUUCGUCUAUUAAAAAGUAACGUGAGUUGGGUUAAAUACGGCGUGAGCCAGUAUGGUUCUUAUCCUUUAUAGGUGUGUAUCGAAAGGAAUCCCAUACUUAGUACGAAAGGAUUAGUAUGGACCUACCAAUGGUGUAUCUAUUGGCUAUUCGAAUGAGAAUCAUCAUUAUGACAGAAGAAGCCACCGUAGAGUAGCUAAGUAGGUAAAAGAUAAAAACCAAAAGAAUUACGUUUGAAUCGGUUUCCUAAGAAGAUACAAGUAAUAGGUCAAAGACUAUGACCCCUUAAUUAUAAAUUGCAUAAUUAUAUAAAUUAAUAUUAAUAAAACUAAAUGAUUUCUUAUCUCCCGC
rnacentral:rRNA from 1 species